CAGGGGUUUUCACCCAAGGUUCGCUUCCAGCCAGCUGGAGAGAAAAACUGCAGGAACAGACUGGAGGUUCAGAUGAUCCCAAAAAUCUUAGGAUUAAUCUUCAUUUGUGAUUGUUCCAUGCUUGCAGUGCUCAGAAAAUCUUCCUGCUUUUUCCUUGCAGCACAUUUCUGGAUAGGGAAAGGACUAAAGGAAAAGUGUUAUGGAAGAACAUGUGACUGAACAAAUUGACAGCCCAGGGAAACAGCAAUAAGAUGGGAGUAGAUGUGGAUCUCGAGGAAAGACAAAAUAUUGAAGCUGCUGCUGCUGCUUUGCCUAAAGGAAUUUCAGUCUUUCAGCAGAAGCCCUUGGUUGUGCUGUCAGUUCCUUACCUGCCCGGUCUCUGGUGCCUGAGCUGCAAGAAACCAACUCAAGCAUUUCCAUCUAUGCCAU